AACGAACGCUGGCGGCAUGCCUAACACAUGCAAGUCGAACGAGACCUUCGGGUCUAGUGGCGCACGGGUGCGUAACGCGUGGGAACCUGCCCUUAGGUUCGGAAUAACUCCCCGAAAGGGGUGCUAAUACCGGUUAAUGUCUUCGGACCAAAGAUUUAUCGCCUUUGGAUGGGCCCGCGUUGGAUUAGCUAGUUGGUAGGGUAAAAGCCUACCAAGGCUACGAUCCAUAGCUGGUCUGAGAGGAUGAUCAGCCACACUGGGACUGAGACACGGCCCAGACUCCUACGGGAGGCAGCAGUGGGGAAUAUUGGACAAUGGGCGAAAGCCUGAUCCAGCAAUGCCGCGUGAGUGAUGAAGGCCUUAGGGUUGUAAAGCUCUUUUACCCGGGAUGAUAAUGACAGUACCGGGAGAAUAAGCUCCGGCUAACUCCGUG
rnacentral:rRNA from 1 species